CCUGUCUCUCCCCACAACCCUACUGCCUCCUGUCAUCACGACUCCCUGAAGGGCAACACUGAACACAAGGCCAGAAGUGACUGGGACGUGAGGAGAAGUCUGACAUUCCGCAGCUCCCGGGGAGCCUCCAAAAGGUGGGUCAGCUUGAAGCAGCCUCCCUGACAGCGAACUGAAUCCAUGCCACUUUUAAGGAAGAUCGAACUCGGGCAUCCUAACUGGUGCAUCCAGUAGGCCAAGGGAGAGGCUCAAAACAAGGUUCAACAAAAAGAUCCAAAAAUGAA